AGCUCUAAUAGUAUAUAUUAGUGUUGUUGCAGUUAAAACGCUCGUAGUUGGAUUGUGGGGCACUGUGACUGAGUCUCACCGUUUGGUGUUGUUUCUCUGGUCGUUUAGUGUUUCCCUUACACUUCCUGAAGACCUGGCAUUGUCCUUACCGGCAGUGUCAUGGGAUUCUGGACUUUUACUUUGAAAAAAUUAGAGUGUUCAAAGCAGGCAUGUAUCGCUUGAAUAAAUUAGCAUGGAAUAAUAAAAUAGGAUGUCGAUUCUAUUUUGUUGGUUUCUGCAGAGUUGACAUAAUGAUUGAUUGGGACGGCCAGGGUCAUUUGUAUUUAAUUGUCAGAGGUGAAAUUCUUGGAUUUGUGAAAGACAGACUUCUGCGAAAGCAUUUGACAGGAAUGUUUUCUUCAA
rnacentral:rRNA from 1 species